AUGAGAGCCUCCCUUGUCCUUACACCCCAUUAUGUGUCACCUUUGCACUCCUGGGGUCACCACCAUGUGGUCCCUGAUAGCAGAUGUUACGAUGGAGCCCACUCUGAGCUCAGCCAGCCUGCAGCCAAAGCAGGGCGGCCCUCAAAGGCCACUUAGGACAGGACAGCCACCCUCUCCAGUGUGGUUUGGCAAGGCCAGCAGCAGAGGGAAAGAAAUCUGCUCUUGUAAAACACCAUGUUUGAUGUGGCUCCUAGGAUGAUUUAAGGCUUGCUGAAGGUGUGUGGAUGGAAGUACAGCAAUUUCCACUGAGCCACAGAGUCACCUGCACCUCACAGGAAGUUUACUGGAGUGCUCUUCUGAGCCAAGGCCAGCUCUCAGUGGAUGCAACAGAAUGGAUGUCUUUGUUCCUGGGAAGAUGAGGAAACUAAGCAGCAGUCUUUUUGCUCAAAUAUCUGAGCUUUAUUUUAAUUUUAAAAUUACAAGUUUGUGAUUCCUAGGCUACAGACACUCAGUAUAAAAUAUAAAAUGUUUUUCCUUGGAAGCACUGGAAACACCUGCUCUAUAUAUAAUAAUGAAACAUAACACAGAGCGACCCAAGUUUCAAACACCAAAUUUUGGUGAAGCUGUUACAAGUAGUGGUUCAUAGGCAAUGAAAUUGCUGUCAGCAUUUGGCUGUAAAGGAUUAUAACUGCUGGGCUGGUAAGAGGACUCAGGCAUUAUAGAAACCCUAAUUAAAAGGAAGUAAUUUGCCUACCUGUACAUGCUUACACCCGUAGUCAUGUCACUUCCACCUCGUCUCAAUUUCCCUCCAAGUGAAGUGACCAUGUAAUAUCGACCAUGAUGUGGGUCUGCAAACACCUUGGUGUGAGCUGUGCUCAUGGUGCUCCUGCAGCUCCCAGGCAGCCCAUACCCACAGCUCCCUUGGCCUGGAUGAAACAAUCCAUAGGCUUUUGUGGCAGCUGACAUGCCAAAUUUUAACUUUUAGCUACUGAGACUACUUCAUCCUAAAAAUACAAGAUCUUCAAACCAGGCUUUUCCCAAAAUCUGAUUUUUUCUGAGCAGUUACUUUCCUCCAUGUUAUGUACUUAAUUGUCUGGAGUCUCAAGCUGCCUGUUUGUGCUCCUCACAAGUGUUCUUGCUGUUAUUCCAUUACUGGAAUUGCCAGCUCUUUGAGACAUCUCCUUCCCCUGGAACUGUUCAAAUAUCAGUAGGGGGCAUUAUUGUCUGAGGCUGCCUGGUCUGAGAGUGCUGCCUGUGGU
rnacentral:lncRNA from 1 species